GAUGAAGAACGCAGCGAAAUGCGAUACUUGGUGUGAAUUGCAGAAUCCCGUGAACCAUCGAGUCUUUGAACGCAAGUUGCGCCCGAAGCCACUAGGCCGAGGGCAUGCCUGCCUGGGCGUCACACGUCGUUGCCCCCCACCAUCUACUCCUUCGGGAUUGCGGGGGGCGGAUGAUGGCCUCCCGUGCGCCUAGCCGCGCGGUUGGCAUAAAUACCAAGUCCUCGGCGACGCACGCCACGACAAUCGGUGGUUGCGAAACCUCGGUUGCCCGUCGUGUGCGUUCGUCGCGCAUCGAGGGCUCGAAAAAAUGCUCGGCUCCGGCUCGGCUUUCAACGCGACCCCAGGUCAGGCGGGGUUACCCGCUGAAUUUAAGCAUAUCAAUAAGCGGAGGA
rnacentral:misc_RNA from 1 species